GGGUCUAUAGUCUAGUGGUAGGACACCGCUUUCACAUGGCGGAGACAGGAGUUCAAUUCUCCUUAGACCCA
rnacentral:tRNA from 1 species